UACAAGGUGACACAAACAUUAUUGCAUC
rnacentral:piRNA from 1 species